AAAUUAAUAUUAAGUAAGUAAAAUGUUAGUUCAUGUUAACUGAUGUAGUUAAUAUUAACAAAUGAAACCUUAUUGUAUACCAUUUUAACUCUUAAUUGAACUAUUUUAGUGGAACAAGUUAGGUCAAUUGUGAGAUGCAUACACACUGUAAUUUAUAAGUCUAUUAUUCUAUGUCUUGGCUAUCUAUGAAAGCUCACUAGACUAAGUAUUAAUUAAUGUGUGAUUACCUGAAACCUGUGUUUGUUUGUAGUGUUUAUUUUAUUGUUAAAAUAAAUGUUAAUGAAGACAGAAUUAAUAUAUAUCAAGUAAUAUGUAAAAUAAAUAUACAAGAAUAUUUAUGCAAUGCCUAUUAUCCUGAUUCCAUUUGUGCUUAAGAUGUAAAUGUCAAACCUGUUGUCUGUGUUUUGUAUUUUGUUUAAUGUAUUUUUGCUUUUCGUGAAACAAUUGCUACUACAAUUUAAAACAUUUGAUUUUGGACCAACAGCACGGGUUGGUAAACCAAAUUUUUCAAUUGGCUCAACUUAUUAUUUCUGAUUGAUCCAAUGUUAACAGACUUAAAUUCAUAGAAAUUCAAUAAAAUGGUCAAUAAAAUAUGACCAGUCAUUAGAAAAUGUUGAGUUGGAGAGGUCUGAAAUGUUCUACAGAGACUUCUGACAUGAAAUAUGAUACUAGAAUGAGGUUGUCUGUAUUCAAGACACUUUUCAAUUGCAAGCUAUUAUACAUAAUAUCCACAACAAUCCCAUAUCCUAUACUUUUUAAAGGUGACUUAGGAAAGGAAAGGAAAUUAAAAAAUCAGAUGCCCUGACACAAGCAUUGAGAGUUCUGGGACACAUUCACACUCACACAACAAUUUUGGCAAAGACUGUCCACCCACCUGCAUGUCUUUGGACUGAUGGGGGGAAUCCAGAGCAACAGGGGAGACACCGGGAAGAACAUGCACACAGAAAAGACUCCUGACUCAGCCGGGGCUUGAACCUGGGACUUUCUUGCUAUGAGGUGGCAGUGCCAUCCACUGAGCCACUGUGUGGGUGACGAUUUUUCCAAACCCUCCACAUAGACCAUAUCGGGCUCUGAUAUCAGAUCUGAAAAGAUGAAAUCGGACAAGGUUAUCCGCUUUUUCAUGUUUAUUAUUGAGGUACCUGAAAAUUAAGAUUCAAGACAAUAGUCUUAAAAACUAAA